UACGGAGGAUGCAAGCGUUAUCCGGAUUUAUUAGGUUUAAAGGGUGCGUAGGCGGACUUGUAAGUCAGCGGUGAAAUACUACAGCUUAACUGUAGAACUGCCGUUGAUACUGUGAGUCUUGAGUAUAGUUGAGGUAGGCGGAAUGUGUAGUGUAGCGGUGAAAUGCUUAGAUAUUGCACAGAACACCGAUUGCGAAGGCAGCUUACUAAGCUAUAACUGACGCUGAGGCACGAAAGCAUGGGGGAGCAAACAGGA
rnacentral:rRNA from 1 species